AUUAAACGCUGGCGGCAUGCCUUACACAUGCAAGUCGAACGGCAGCAUGGGUGCUUGCACCUGAUGGCGAGUGGCGGACGGGUGAGUAAUACAUCGGAACGUGCCCUGAAGUGGGGGAUAACGCAGCGAAAGCUACGCUAAUACCGCAUAUUCUGUGAGCAGGAAAGCAGGGGAUCGCAAGACCUUGCGCUUUGGGAGUGGCCGAUGUCGGAUUAGCUAGUUGAUGGGGUAAAGGCCUACCAAGGCGACGAUCCGUAGCGGGUCUGAGAGGAUGAUCCGCCACACUGGGACUGAGACACGGCCCAGACUCCUACGGGAGGCAGCAGUGGGGAAUUUUGGACAAUGGGCGGAAGCCUGAUCCAGCCAUGCCGCGUGAGUGAAGAAGGCCUGGUGUAAG
rnacentral:rRNA from 1 species